GAUGAACGCUGGCGGCGCGCCUAACACAUGCAAGUCGAACGAUUAAAGCACCUUCGGGUGUGUAUAACGUGGCGAACGGAUGAGUAACACGCACGCAGCCUACCCACCUCAUUGGGAUAGCCACGGGAAACCGUGGGUAAUACCGACUACUUCGGAACUUCCGCCUGGUAGACUCGAGAAAGCCCCGGCGGAUGGGGAUGGGACCGCGGCCUGUUAGCUUGUUGGUGAGGUAAUGGCAUACCAAGGCAAUGAAGGGUAGCUGAGUUGAGAGACCGACCAGCCAGAAUGGGACUGAGACACGGCCCAGACUCCUACGGGAGGCAGCAGUGGGGAAUCUGGCGCAAUGGGCGAAAGCCUGAUGCAGCGACGCCGCGUGCGUGAUGAAGGCCUUCGGGUUGUAAACCGCUUUCAGCAGGGACGAGGCGAAAGUGACGGUACCUGAAGAAGAAGCCCCGGCUAACUACGUG
rnacentral:rRNA from 1 species